GACGAACGCUGGCGGCGUGCCUAAUACAUGCAAGUAGAACGCACAGUUUAUACCGUAGCUUGCUACACCAUAGACUGUGAGUUGCGAACGGGUGAGUAACGCGUAGGUAACCUGCCUGGUAGCGGGGGAUAACUAUUGGAAACGAUAGCUAAUACCGAUAAUAUUAAUUAUUGCAUGAUAAUUAAUUGAAAGGUGCAAUUGCACCACUACCAGAUGGACCUGCGUUGUAUUAGCUAGUAGGUGAGGUAACGGCUCACCUAGGCGACGAUACAUAGCCGACCUGAGAGGGUGAUCGGCCACACUGGGACUGAGACACGGCCCAGACUCCUACGGGAGGCAGCAGUAGGGAAUCUUCGGCAAUGGACGAAAGUCUGACCGAGCAACGCCGCGUGAGUGAAGAAGGUUUUCGGAUCGUAAAGCUCUGUUGUAAGAGAAGAACGGGUGUGAGAGUGGAAAGUUCACACUGUGACGGUAUCUUACCAGAAAGGGACGGCUAACUACGUG
rnacentral:rRNA from 1 species